GACGAAUGCUGGCGGCGUGCUUAACACAUGCAAGUCGAACGGAAAGGCCCUGCUUUUGUGGGGUGCUCGAGUGGCGAACGGGUGAGUAACACGUGAGUAACCUGCCCUUGACUUUGGGAUAACUUCAGGAAACUGGGGCUAAUACCGGAUAGGAGCUCCUGCUGCAUGGUGGGGGUUGGAAAGUUUCGGCGGUUGGGGAUGGACUCGCGGCUUAUCAGCUUGUUGGUGGGGUAGUGGCUUACCAAGGCUUUGACGGGUAGCCGGCCUGAGAGGGUGACCGGCCACAUUGGGACUGAGAUACGGCCCAGACUCCUACGGGAGGCAGCAGUGGGGAAUAUUGCACAAUGGGCGGAAGCCUGAUGCAGCAACGCCGCGUGCGGGAUGACGGCCUUCGGGUUGUAAACCGCUUUCGCCUGUGACGAAGCGUGAGUGACGGUAAUGGGUAAAGAAGCACCGGCUGACUACGUG
rnacentral:rRNA from 1 species